UAUAAAUUACAAAUGGUCUUCUUAAGAACAACUUAAAGAUAUUUACAAAAAGACCUGUUUGUCUAAGCAUCAUUAAGACCUGUUUAAAGAGGUUUACCAAAUACAUAACCCAUUUUAUCAACGCCUUGUUAAUAAAGCUAUUUGCUGUUGUAAGUAAACGUUUGAUAGAAAUGUUUGCUUGUUUAAUUUGUGACAUUUCCAAUUUUGAAUUAAAUCUCUUUUUAGCACUUUGUAUUGGUUUUGUUGUGGCUAUAAUGAAAUGAUAAAAUUGUAAUUAGAAAAAUAUUAAUCGCUUUCGCUGAUAUUUGCAGUCGGAUAUCUCCAUCACCAAACUCAAGUUAAGAAGAGGGUCGGAUAUUUAAUGAAUUACAUACAUAUGUAUACGAACAAUAACAGUGAUAUGAAAUAUAUUUUCAUUUAUUUGAAAAAUAAUUUUGCAAAGUAUUAGCUAUCUCAAUUUUGGAGAAUAUAGUAAGGGACAAAUUACAAAACCAAUAUAUUCACAAUUUUCCAGUUCUCUUUUACAUUGAGUUUGGUCUGGUGGAUGCGUGCUGGGCUGGUAUGCGGGAUA